AUCAAUAAUUCAUCAUCCAUCAUCCAUCAUCAUCGUCGUUCCUAGUACGGUACUUGUGGUCCAGUUGAAAAAAUCGAAAUUGAACCAUUGAAAAUUUUCAAACGAUUCCAAUCAAAAUUAGUCAUGGCCAGGAGAAUUAG
rnacentral:rRNA from 17 species